UAAUUGAUAGAUAACCGAACUCGGUAUUUCGGCUAAUUCGAUAACCAGAUUGCCGAAACUCGCGAACAAUAAAAAGAAAAAACUACGUUUAUUUUCUUGUGUCACUGAUCAUAUCCAUGGUUAAAAUACUGUGUAGUAAAUAACAUGUUUUGGUGAUGAUGUUGCAACCAAGUAGCAAACAUUGCAACAAACUGUUUACCGAAAACCGCUUUG